AUAAGAUCAAGAACAUUCUUUCAUUUGUCAACACAUUUGGUAGGAUCUUAGUUAAGAAAUCGUCAUCUGAUAAAACCAACAUGCAAAGUCACAAGAAUAAACAAGCGCUUUAAAGGGACCUAAAGGGACAUAUUUUCGUUGUUGGACGGGAUUGGUGUAACGUUCUUGUCAUAUCUGCUAAUGGGAAAUAUACUCAACUAAUACUAAACAAGGAAGAUGGUCUCAGAGUUUCAGCUGCGAUUUUCCUUGACAAGAUAGGGAAACAACUUCUUGUGACAAGUGACCAAAAAGUUGCAUAUCUUUAUCGCAUUUCCAUAAAUUAACAAAAUAUAUCAGAAAAAUGUUUGAAUAGCAUAUUCCUAUUGAAAGUGUGUUUUAGAGUAAUAUCUAUCAGAUUUAUUACGGCUCAAAUGAAGGCAUAUUUGAACUUAACUUAGCAGUAUUGUAGGUCAAAUCUGGCAGCAAAAAAUUGAUAUGAAUUGAAUUUCUCUUAAAUUUAUACAUUUUUACUGACAUCCAUAAUAUCACGCUCCUAACUAUUUGUAGUG
rnacentral:lncRNA from 1 species